rnacentral:misc_RNA from 1 species
GAUGAAGAACGCAGCGAAAUGCGAUACUUGGUGUGAAUUGCAGAAUCCCGUGAACCAUCGAGUCUUUGAACGCAAGUUGCGCCCGAAGCCACUAGGCCGAGGGCACGCCUGCCUGGGCGUCACACGCCGUUGCCCCCCCAUCUACUCCUUCGGGAUUGCGGGGGGGCGGAUGAUGGCCUCCUGUGCGCCUAGCCGCGCGGUUGGCAUAAAUACCAAGUCCUCGGCGACGCACGCCACGACAAUCGGUGGUUGCGAAACCUCGGUUGCCCGUCGUGUGCGUUCGUCGCGCAUCGAGGGCCCGAAAAAAUGCUCGGCUCCGGCUGGGCUUUCAACGCGACCCCAGGUCAGGCGGGGUUACCCGCUGAAUUUAAGCAUGUCAAUAAGCGGAGGA